ACUCCUACGGGAGGCAGCAGUGGGGAAUAUUGCACAAUGGGCGCAAGCCUGAUGCAGCCAUGCCGCGUGUAUGAAGAAGGCCCUUCGGGUUGGUAAAAGUACUUUCAGUCAGUGAGGAAGGUGGGUAUGUUAAUAGCAUACUCAUUUGACGUUAGCUGCAGAAGAAGCACCGGCUAACUCCGUGCCAGCAGCCGCGGUAAUACGGAGGGUGCGAGCGUUAAUCGGAAUUACUGGGCGUAAAGCGCAUGCAGGUGGUUUGUUAAGUCAGAUGUGAAAGCCCGGGGCUCAACCUCGGAAUUGCAUUUGAAACUGGCAAACUAGAGUACUGUAGAGGGGGGUAGAAUUUCAGGUGUAGCGGUGAAAUGCGUAGAGAUCUGAAGGAAUACCGGUGGCGAAGGCGGCCCCCUGGACAGAUACUGACACUCAAGAUGCGAAAGCGGUGGGGAGCAAAACAGGAUUAGAUACCCUGGUAGCUACGAGU
rnacentral:rRNA from 1 species